rnacentral:rRNA from 1 species
GAUGAACGCUGGCGGCGUGCCUCAAACAUGCAAGGUCGAGCGGGGCUAUGUAAUAUCGCAAGGUAGAACAUAGCCUAGCGGCGAACGGGUGAGUAACACGUGGGUAACCUGCCUGGAAGACAGGGAUAACGAUUCGAAAGGGUCGCUAAUACCUGAUAAUAUCCUUUCAUCGCAUGGUGAUAGGAAGAAAGGGGAAACCCGCUUUCAGAUGGGCCCGCGUCCCAUCAGCUAGUUGGUAAGGUAAAGGCUUACCAAGGCGACGACGGGUAGCCGGUCUGAGAGGAUGUACGGCCACACUGGGACUGAGAUACGGCCCAGACUCCUACGGGAGGCAGCAGUUGGGAAUCUUAGGCAAUGGACGAAAGUCUGACCUAGCGACGCCGCGUGAGGGAAGAAGGCCUUCGGGUUGUAAACCUCUGUCAUGGGGGAAGAAGGAAGUGACGGUACCCCAAGAGGAAGCCCCUGCUAACUACGUG